AAAAAAGCCGCUAUUGUGUUUAAUGUACCCGUACCGUAAACCGACACAGGUGGAUGAGGAGAGAAUCCUAAGGCCGGCGGGAGAAGCAUUGUUAAGGAACUCGGCAAAAUGACCCCGUAACUUCGGGAGAAGGGGUGCUCUUAGAAAUAAGAGCCGCAGAGAAUUGGCCCAAGCAACUGUUUAGCAAAACACAGGUCUAUGCAAAACCGAAAGGUGAGGUAUAUGGGCUGACGCCUGCCCGGUGCUGGAAGGUUAAGAGGAGAGGUCAGAGCAAUCGAAGCCUUGAAUUUAAGCCCCAGUAAACGGCGGCCGUAACAAUAACGGUCCUAAGGUAGCGAAAUUCCUUGUCGGGUAAGUUCCGACCCGCACGAAAGGCGUAAUGAUUUGGGCACUGUCUCGACAAUGCACCCGGUGAAAUUGAAAUACCAGUGAAGAUGCUGGUUACCUGCGCCAGGACGGAAAGACCCCAUGGAGCUUUACUCUAGUUUGAUACUGGGAUUCGGUAUUGCAUGUACAGGAUAGGUGGGAGGCUGUGAAGCGAUGACGCCAGUUGUCGCAGAGCCGCUGUUGGGAUACCACCCCUGCAGUACUGGGUUUCUAACCUGCAGCCGUAAUCCGGCCGGGGGACAAUGUCUGACGGGGAGUUUGACUGGGGCGGUCGCCUCCGAAAGGGUAUCGGAGGCGCUCAAAGGUUCCCUCAGAAUGGUUGGAAACCAUUCGAAGAGUGCAAAGGCAGAAGGGAGCUUGACUGCGACACCGACGGGUGGAGCAGGUACGAAAGUAGGACUUAGUGAUCCGGUGGUAUGAAAGUGGGAUUGCCAUCGCUCAACGGAUAAAAGCUACCCUGGGAUAACAGGCUUAUCACUCCCAAGAGUUCACAUCGACGAAGUGGUUUGGCACCUCGAUGUCGGCUCAUCGCAUCCUGGGGCUGUAGUAGGUCCCAAGGGUUGGGCUGUUCGCCCAUUAAAGCGGUACGCGAGCUGGGUUCAGAACGUCGUGAGACAGUUCGGUCCCUAUCCGGCGUGGGCGUAGGAUAUCUGAGAGGAGCUGUCCUUAGUACGAGAGGACCGGGAUGGACUGACCUCUGGUGUACCGGUUGCACUGCCAAGUGCAUGGCCGGGUAGCCAAGUCGGGACGGGAUAAACGCUGAAGGCAUCUAAGCGUGAAGCCCCCCUCAAGAUGAGAUAUCCCAUAGAGUAAUCUAGUAAGACCCCUUGAAGACGACGAGGUAGAUAGGUGAAAGGUGGAAGCGUGGUGACAUGUGGAGCUGAUUCAUACUAAUAGGUCGAGGGCUUAAUA
rnacentral:rRNA from 1 species